AAGGAAGCACACUUAGGCUAUAGAUUAAGCCAUGCAAGUGUUAGUUCAGGCAACGAAACUGCGAACAGCUCAUUAAUACGCUCAGAACCUAUUUGGUUACGACUCAACAGGGUAUUAAAUGGAUAGCAGUAGUAAUUCUAGUGCUAAUACAUGCGAGUCAACCGCCUUAAGCGAACCAAGGCGAGGACAUAACCUUUAUGGUGUACCAUUCGGUUGAGCGCCCUAUCAGCUUGUAGGUAGUAUCUUUAACUAUGUAGGCUAUCACGGGUAACGGGCGGUUACCGUCGGACUGCCGGAGAAGGCGCCUGAGAGACAGCGGCUAUACCCACGGGUAGCAGCAGGCGCGAAACUUACCCACUCGCCAAUGGCGGAGGUGGUAAUAGCCAGUUCCAUCGUCUCGUAAGAGCGGGGGAUAGGCUCACACUUUUCCAGUGUGGGGUAAUCUAGGAGAGGGCCAGUUCUGGUGCCAGCAGCUGCGGUAAUUCCAGCUCUCCGAGUUUGCUCCCAAUGCUACACUUAAAACGCCCGUAGUCUGAUUUCGAAGUUCCGAAAGGAGCGUUCACCGUGAACAAAUCAGGAUGCUUAGAGUAGUUCAUAACUGAAUGACUCAGCGCGGUAUGAAACCUUUACCCUUGUUAAGAGGGUCAGAUCGAUGAGAGCAAUCGGGGGUAGAUCUAUUUCAUGGCGAGCGGCGGAAUGUUUUGACCCAUGAGAGAGAAACGAAUGCGAAAGCAUCUACCUAGAGUGUUUCUGUCGAUCAAGGGCGAGAGUCGCAGGAUCCAACCGGAUUAGAGACCCGGGUAGUUGCGACCUUAAACGAUGCCGACAGGGCCACGUUCCAUGGAGCGGGGUCUUAGGAGAAAUCAUAGUUUCUGGGCUGUGGGGGAACUACGACCGCAAGGCUGAAACUUGAAGGAAUUGACGGAAGGGCGCACCAGGGGUGGAUACUGUGGCUCAAUCUGACUCAACGCGGAGAAACUUACCAGGACCAGAUGUGUUUUAUGACUGACCAGCUAAAGACUGUUCAGGAUAUAAUUUUUGGUGGUGCAUGGCCGUUGGUGGUGCGUGGAUUGAUCUGUCAUGCGUCGAUUCAGAUAACGAGCGAGACUACUGCGGACUAUCUAGGCUUCCAUCCUACUGGAUGUGUCGUCUUCUAAUCGGGACUCCCUGCGUUUAAGCAGGCGGAAGAGGGUAGCAAUAACAGGUCCGUGAUGUCCUUUAGAUGCUCUGGGCUGCACGCGUUCUACAAUGCUAGAAUCACAGGGAAGCUAACCCGAGAGGGCAUGCGACUCCUAUAAUCUCUAGCGUAGUUGGGAUCGACGAUUGUAAUCAUCGUCGUGAACUAGGAAUCCCUUGUAAACGUGUAUCAACAUUGCACGUUGAAUACGUCCCUGCCCUUUGUACACACCGCCCGUCGCUCCUACCGAUUGGAUGGAUUGGUGAAAUUAUUGGACACUUCCGGGUGAAAGGUAAUUAAACCUGUCGAUUUAGAGGAAGGAGAAGUCGUAACAAGGUAUCU
rnacentral:rRNA from 1 species